GACGAACGCUGGCGGCGUGCCUAAUACAUGCAAGUAGAACGCAGUUGCGAACGGGUGAGUAACGCGUAGGUAACUGCCUGGUAGAGGGGGAUAACUAUUGGAAACGAUAGCUAAUACCGCAUACUACCAGAUGGACCUGCGUUGUAUUAGCUAGUUGGUGAGGUAACGGCACACCAAGGCAAAGAUACAUAGCCGACUGGAGAGUGUGAACGGUCACACUGGGACUGGUACACGGCUCAGACGCCUACGGGAGGCAGCAGUAGGGAAUCUUCGGAAAUGGGGGGAACCCUGGACGAGCAACGCCGCGGGAGUUAAGAAGGUUUUCGGAUCGUAAAGCUCUGUUGUUAAGGAAGCGGUACUUAACCAGAAAGGGACGGCUAACUACGUGCCAGCCGCCGCGGUAAUUC
rnacentral:rRNA from 1 species